CAAAGAAUAGUUUAGCUUAGAAUCCUAGCUUUGGGAGUUAGGGGUGGGAGUUAGAGUCUCCUUUCUUGA
rnacentral:tRNA from 1 species